GCCGGGUGUGGUGGCUCACACCUGUAAUCCCAGCACUUUAGGAGGCUGAGGUGGGCGGAUCACCUGAGGUCAGGAGUUUGAGACCAGCCUGACCAACAUGGAGAAACCCCAUCUCUA
rnacentral:sRNA from 1 species